rnacentral:lncRNA from 1 species
GAAAACAUACCGGCUGACAGCGAUAAUACUUCGAGUCAUAUACGCGCUUAUGGCGCUAGUAUCAAACUGAUCUGGAACUCAGCGGCUGCCGCUAAGCGGCGCUGGCGUUCUCCGCAACCGGCUGAUCGGCCGCUCUAGACAAGUGUGAUUCCAUCUCCACAAAAAUGCACUGUUUUGCCUCAGGUGUGUUGUGCAAAGGCGAAACUCAUCGUCGUGAUGGUUUUCCGGAAUUGUUAGGUGAAGCGUCAAAGUUACGGGCCGAGCGUAGCAAGCGGAACCACAGCACCGAGGCACUGCUUGAGCGAGGGUCAUUUGCAUCGAGCUACCCGCGCAACCACGGCGACACCCAGGGAUGCCUCAGAGGAGCAGUGGGAGGCCAUUCUGCACAGCGAUGACCCUGACCGCCAACACUGGGUGGUGGAGAGGGCCGACGUGGCAGCGAUAACCAGUGGACGCCAAACUAGGCAGCCCACCCACAUGCU